CGGAGGAUCCAAGCGUUAUCCGGAAUCAUUGGGUUUAAAGGGUCCGUAGGCGGUUUAGUAAGUCAGUGGUGAAAGCCCAUCGCUCAACGGUGGAACGGCCAUUGAUACUGCUAGACUUGAAUUAUUAGGAAGUAACUAGAAUAUGCAGUGUAGCGGUGAAAUGCUUAGAGAUUACAUGGAAUACCAAUUGCGAAGGCAGGUUACUACUAAUUGAUUGACGCUGAUGGACGAAAGCGUGGGUAGCGAACAGGAUUAGAUACCCUGGUAGUCCACGCCGUAAACGAUGGAUACUAGCUGUUGGGAGCAAUCUCAGUGGCUAAGCGAAAGUGAUAAGUAUCCCACCUGGGGAGUACGUUCGCAAGAAUG
rnacentral:rRNA from 1 species